GGCUCUAUGGGACAAUGGAUAGUGCAUUGGACUUCUAGGCUGGAAGCUAAGCCAUUCAAAAGUUGUGAGUUCCAGUCCCAUCAGAGUCG
rnacentral:tRNA from 1 species